CGGCCUUAUCACGUUGAAAAGCCAGUUCCCGAAUGAUCAUCGACGUUAAGCAAUGUCGAGCCUGUUUAGUACAUAGAUGGGUGACCGCUUAGGAAUAUUAAGU